UACGUAGGCAGCGAGCGUUGUUCGGAGUUACUGGGCGUAAAGGGUGUGUAGGCGGUUGCUUAAGUUUGGUGUGAAAUCUCCCGGCUCAACUGGGAGGGUGCGCCGAAUACUGAGUGACUCGAGUGCGGGAGAGGAGAGUGGAAUUCCUGGUGUAGCGGUGAAAUGCGUAGAUAUCAGGAGGAACACCGGUGGUGUAGACGGCUCGUCUGGACCGUAACUGACGCUGAGACACGAAAGCGUGGGUAGCAAACAGG
rnacentral:rRNA from 1 species